AACGCGAAGAACCUUACCUGGGCUUGAACCGCACAGGACCACCCCGAGAAAUCGGGGCUUCUCGCAAGAGACCUGUGUAGAGGUGCUGCAUGGCUGUCGUCAGCUCGUGCCGUGAGGUGUUGGGUUAAGUCCCGCAACGAGCGCAACCCUUACUCGUAGUUGCCACCCGCAAGGGGGAACUCUACGAGGACUGCUCCGGAUAACGGAGAGGAAGGUGGGGAUGAGGUCAAGUCAGCAUGGCCUUUAUGUCCAGGGCUACACACGUGUUACAAUGCGCGCCACAAAGCGUUGCAAACCCGCGAGGGGGAGCUAAUCGCAAAAAAGCGCGCUCAGUUCGGAUUGCAGUCUGCAACUCGACUGCAUGAAGCUGGAAUCGCUAGUAAUGGCGCAUCAGAACGGCGCCGUGAAUACGUUCCCGGGCCUUGUA
rnacentral:rRNA from 1 species